AGAGCGAACGCUGGCGGCAGGCCUAACACAUGCAAGUCGAGCGCCCGUAGCAAUACGGGAGCGGCAGACGGGAUAGUAACACGUGGGAACGCGCCCUUCGGUUCGGAAUAACUCAGGGAAACUUGAGCUAAUACCGAAUACGCCCUUACGGGGAAAGAUUUAUUGCCGAAGGAACGGCCCGCGUCCGAUUAGCUAGUUGGUGAGGUAAUGGCUCACCAAGGCUACGAUCGGUAGCUGGUCUGAGAGGAUGACCAGCAUCACUGGGACUGAGACACGGCCCAGACUCCUACGGGAGGCAGCAGUGGGGAAUAUUGGACAAUGGCGCAAGCCUGAUCCAGCCAUGCCGCGUGGAUGAUGAAGGCCUUAGGGUUGUAAAGUCCUUUUAACGGGGAAGAUAAUGACGGUACCCGUAGAAUAAGCCCCGGCUAACUUCGUGCCAGCAGCCGC
rnacentral:rRNA from 1 species